CGGAGUCUCGCCUGUCGCUCAGGAUGGAGUGCAGUGGUGCAAUCUCGGCUCAUGUUGUAUUUUUAGUAGAGACGAGGUUUCACCAUGUUGGCCAGGCUAGUCUGGAGCUCCUGACCUCGUGAUCUGCCUGCCUCGGCCUCCCAAAAUGCUGGGAUUACAGGCGUGAGCCACCGUACUGGGAAUCAGAGCCUCCGGGCCGCGGUGUUUGAGGGUGAGUGGAAUUAAUCCCGUGAUGGACGUGGGGCCUUCUAAGGGGGACCAGGAGUUUGCGAAGAGGUGACUUUGGGAGGGGUUCAGGAUGGCCAGAGGUGGAGGCUGUGACCUCAGUGAGGCUGGAUCAAGGGAGGGGCAGGUGGAGAAGAAACCGUUUUAACGAGGUGGCUUUAAGCGGAUCCUAAGGGCCCCAGGAGAUUUAGGAGGAAGGACAAGAGGAUUAAGACACCGCUUUCUGGUCGGGUGCGGUGGCUCACGCCUGUAAUCCCAGCACUCUGGGAGGCCGAGGCGGGCGGAUCACGAGGUC
rnacentral:lncRNA from 10 species